UACGUAGGGUGCAAGCGUUAUCCGGAAUUAUUGGGCGUAAAGAGCUCGUAGGCGGUUUGUCGCGUCUGCUGUGAAAACCCGAGGCUCAACCUCGGGCCUGCAGUGGGUACGGGUAGACUAGAGUGCGGUAGGGGAGAUUGGAAUUCCUGGUGUGGCGGUGGAAUGCGCAGAUAUCAGGAGGAACACCGAUGGCGAAGGCAGAUCUCUGGGCCGUAACUGACGCUGAGGAGCGAAAGCGUGGGGAGCGAACAGG
rnacentral:rRNA from 1 species